UUUGUUUUUGUUUUUAAACGUAACAAUAAGUAAAAGAGUGUGGGUCUUCGACAGGUGCUAGCCCAUUUUUCAAUCGACUGUAGGCCUGCCGAAGCAACUUGACUUGGAAACAAGGGUGAAGAGUGGCAUUUGGUUUACCCAAUGCGUUCUCGGUAAUGAUCCUUCCGCAGGUUCACCUACGGAAA
rnacentral:misc_RNA from 1 species